rnacentral:rRNA from 1 species
AGAGUUUGAUCCUGGCUCAGAUUGAACGCUGGCGGCAGGCCUAACACAUGCAAGUCGAACGGUAACAGGAAGCAGCCUGCUGCUUCGCUGACGAGUGGCGGACGGGUGAGUAAUGUCUGGGAAGCUGCCUGAUGGAGGGGGAUAACUACUGGAAACGGUAGCUAAUACCGCAUAAUGUCGCAAGACCAAAGAGGGGGACCUUCGGGCCUCUUGCCAUCGGAUGUGCCCAGAUGGGAUUAGCUUGUUGGUGGGGUAACGGCUCACCAAGGCGACGAUCCCUAGCUGGUCUGAGAGGAUGACCAGCCACACUGGAACUGAGACACGGUCCAGACUCCUACGGGAGGCAGCAGUGGGGAAUAUUGCACAAUGGGCGCAAGCCUGAUGCAGCCAUGCCGCGUGUAUGAAGAAGGCCUUCGGGUUGUAAAGUACUUUCAGCGGGGAGGAAGGGAGUAAAGUUAAUACCUUUGCUCAUUGACGUUACCCGCAGAAGAAGCACCGGCUAACUCCGUGCCAGCAGCCGCGGUAAUACGGAGGGUGCAAGCGUUAAUCGGAAUUACUGGGCGUAAAGCGCACGCAGGCGGUUUGUUAAGUCAGAUGUGAAAUCCCCGGGCUCAACCUGGGAACUGCAUCUGAUACUGGCAAGCUUGAGUCUCGUAGAGGGGGGUAGAAUUCCAGGUGUAGCGGUGAAAUGCGUAGA